rnacentral:rRNA from 1 species
GCGUGAGAAUCUGCCUUCAGGUCUGGGACAACCACUGGAAACGGUGGCUAAUACCGGAUGUGCCCUUAGGGGUGAAAGGUUAACUGCCUGAAGAUGAGCUCGCGUCUGAUUAGCUAGUUGGAAGUGUAAUGGACUCCCAAGGCGACGAUCAGUAGCUGGUCUGAGAGGACGAUCAGCCACACUGGGACUGAGACACGGCCCAGACUCCUACGGGAGGCAGCAGUGGGGAAUUUUCCGCAAUGGGCGAAAGCCUGACGGAGCAAUACCGCGUGAGGGAGGAAGGCUCUUGGGUCGUAAACCUCUUUUCUCAGGGAAGAACACAAUGACGGUACCUGAGGAAUAAGCAUCGGCUAACUCCGUGCCAGCAGCCGCGGUAAUACGGAGGAUGCAAGCGUUAUCCGGAAUGAUUGGGCGUAAAGCGUCCGCAGGUGGCUAUGUAAGUCUGCUGUUAAAGAGUCUAGCUCAACUAGAUAAGAGCAGUGGAAACUACAUGGCUAGAGUGCGUUCGGGGCAGAGGGAAUUCCUGGUGUAGCGGUGAAAUGCGUAGAGAUCAGGAAGAACACCGGUGGCGAAGGCGCUCUGCUAGGCCGCAACUGACACUGAGGGACGAAAGCUAGGGGAGCGAA